GAGCCCACUCCUGACAGAAGCUCCAUCAUAGCACUGACUAGACUGACAAUUUCAGCUGCACUUAAAGCAGAAAGAUGCUCAAGAAUUUGGCUGGUAAUAAAAUCCACAUUUAACUAACUUGAAUACCUUUACUUUAAUAUCUUUACAGACAAAUCUAAUUAUGAAUGACAAAUUUUCCACAUUGGAUCUGUCUUUGAUUCCAUAACUUUUGAUACAAAAUCAGCAUAAUCUACUUCGACAAAGUUUUCCUUGAUUUUAAUAAAUACCAUUCUGGCCGGCUCAGCUCCUCUGGGACUGUGAGCGACCGAGUGAGACUAGGAGCGGGUGUGACGUGAGAGGCCACGCCCUCCCUUGCAUCUACCAAUCAACUAUAGCAGCUACUUCGAAUGAGAGCCAGCGAGUGCUCUUUUUUUCUAUUUAUUAGCAUUAACAAUAUCUUUUUAAAAUUUGGACAGUUUGCCUUUUGUCACGUUGGAAGGCAGUCCUGGCAUGGGGGGGGGGGGGGGGCACUUGGCAAUGCCCCACUUAGCCAUGGGCAAGUCGAAAAAGAUGUACAACACACCUACAUCUCACCUACGUCCGCCUAACUUAGACUUGUGUGUUGUAUAUGUGUUCGCAAUGACCUGUUGCUCAAAGCCUUCCUGUAGAAAAAACGUGCAAGAACAUUUUUGCCCAACUUGUUCACCAGGCGAUCUACAACAUGGUUAUUUUGUGCUGGUGACUUCCAUGCCCCAUACAGGAUUGCCCAUUUUCGCCUGCAUACAGUCAAAAUCCACCUGUAGGGGGAGAAGUGGCUGAGGCUUAACCCAGAGGAAGAGGAGCAGAGAGAAGAGGAAGAACAGAUGAAAGAGCAGAUGGAGAGAUUGAGGGAGGAGCUUAGCUGUUAGUGAACUAUAGAAGAGACACAAACUUCCACUUUCUACACAGUUCAACACACAAAAGCCAAACAUCAGCUUCAUCCAACAUGCUGUCUGUGCAGACAUCUGUGUUCACUCUGCUGCUUCUAGUCAUUGGAACAGAUGUCAGCUGUGAAGAACUCACUGCAGUCAAGAAGGAAGAGUCCACUUUGGAAGGAACUUCUGUCUCUCUGUCCUACAAAUAUCCCAAAUUGUCUACUAGUAAUUAUUUCUUCUGGUAUCGACAGUUUCCAGGAAAACCUCCAGAGCUCCUGGUCUCUCAUUCUUCUUCAGGACAGAUAGGAAUUACAAAAAUUGAAGGACUGCAGAUUCAAGUUGCAAACAAACAGAUAGAUCUGCAGAUCUCCUCUGCUGCAGUGACAGACUCUGCUGUGUACUACUGUGCUCUGCAGCCCACAGUGACAGGAAACAACAAAACUCUGUACAAAAACCUGCAACAGGGAAGCACAACAACAUCCACUAGAGGGUGCUCUAACAGUAAAACAGUUCAUGUGUUGAGAAAACAAAACUGGUCAAAGUAUAAAAAGUUCUUGUGAGAACAUAAUUAUCCCUUGUGCUGUCUUAGAUGACCCCACCCUUACAUUGACAUGUUAUUCUUUUUCCUUUUCUUUCUUUCUUUGCUCUUUUUUUUUUUUUUUGCAGAAACAACUUUUAAAAAUAUUGUUAAAGGCAGAAUUACCAACAUGCCACCCAGGAGGACCAGAAAAGAACACUAAAAAGAGGAUCCAGAACUGUGGAACUAAUACAUUGUUCUUCAUUUCCUUUUCUGUGAAAUAUUGACCCAAUGUGACAGAGCCAUCAACAAUGCACAUCAAAAGAUAUUUAAAGUUUAAUACUCAACGAUUGUUCUUUUUUCCCCCUGCUUUUAAAUUUAAAAUUGAUUUUCAGGUGACACAUUUAAAGGG
rnacentral:lncRNA from 1 species